rnacentral:rRNA from 1 species
UGAGGAAUAUUGGUCAAUGGUCGGGAGACUGAACCAGCCAAGCCGCGUGAGGGAUGAAGGUGCUAAGCAUUGUAAACCUCUUUUGUCAGGGAACAAAGGCAUCCACGAGUGGAUGUGUGAGUGUACCUGAAGAAAAGCAUCGGCUAACUCCGUGCCAGCAGCCGCGGUAAUACGGAGGAUGCGAGCGUUAUCCGGAUUUAUUGGGUUUAAAGGGUGCGUAGGCGGCCUGUUAAGUCAGCGGUAAAAGCCCGGGGCUCAACCCCGGCGAGCCGUUGAACUGGCUGGCUGGAGUUGGCGAGAGGUAUGCGGAAUGCGCGGUGUAGCGGUGAAAUGCUUAGAUAUCGCGCAGAACUCCGAUUGCGAAGGCAGCAUGCCGGCACCACACUGACGCUGAAGCACGAAAGCGUGGGUAUCGAACAGGAUUAGAUACC